rnacentral:rRNA from 1 species
GAUGAACGCUGGCGGCGUGCCUAAUACAUGCAAGUCGAGCGAAUGGAUCAAGAGCUUGCUCUUAUGAAGUUAGCGGCGGACGGGUGAGUAACACGUGGGUAACCUGCCCAUAAGACUGGGAUAACUCCGGGAAACCGGGGCCAAUACCGGAUAACAUUUUGAACCGCAUGGUUCGAAAUUGAAAGGCGGCUUCGGCUGUCACUUAUGGAUGGACCCGCGUCGCAUUAGCUAGUUGGUGAGGUAACGGCUCACCAAGGCAACGAUGCGUAGCCGACCGGAGAGGGUGAUCGGCCACACUGGGACUGAGACACGGCCCAGACUCCUACGGGAGGCAGCAGUAGGGAAUCUUCCGCAAUGGACGAAAGUCUGACGGAGCAACGCCGCGUGAGUGAUGAAGGCUUUCGGGUCGUAAAACUCUGUUGUUAGGGAAGAACAAGUGCUAGUUGAAUAAGCUGGCACCUUGACGGUACCUAACCAGAAAGCCACGGCUAACUACGUGCCAGCCGCCGCCGUAA